rnacentral:rRNA from 1 species
GACGUAGGGGGCAAGCGUUGUUCGGAAUUAUUGGGCGUAAAGCGCUCGUAGGCGGGACUGGAAGUCCGUGUUGAAAGACCUCGGCUCAACUGAGGGACCGGCUCGGAUACUCUAGUUCUUGAGGCAAUCAGAGGGUGAUGGAAUUCCCGGUGUAGCGGUGAAAUGCGUAGAUAUCAGGAGGAACACCUGUGGCGAAAGCGGCUCACUGGACCAUAACUGACGCUGAUGCACGAAAGCUAGGGGAGCAAACAGG